UCGCGCUAGGCGGGGAGUUAGCGGUGCCUUGAACCUGCAAUCCGCUGUAGCAGGGCUGAUACUGCAUUGAGGCUGCCAUUUGUGGGGUUUGCCCCUAGCAAGUAGUGAUGACAAUUGGGUCCGACGCAACAGGACUUCAUGAACCCCGUCAGGUCCGGAAGGAAGCAGCGGUAAGUGAGCCAUCUUGUGUGCCGUCGGGUAGCCUGGUUCGAGCUAACUUCUAGGGUUACUCUCGGAAGUGUCAGUCGAAGGCAGGUGCGCGG
rnacentral:SRP_RNA from 1 species